GAGGGAUCCUAGCGUUGUUCGGAAUCAUUGGGCGUAAAGCGUGUGUAGGUGGCCAUUCAAGUCAGUUGUGAAAGCCCCGGGCUCAACCCGGGAAGUGCUUCUGAUACUGUUUGGCUUGAGUACUGGAGAGGGUAGUAGAAUUCCUGGUGUAGUGGUGAAAUACGUAGAUAUCAGGAGGAAUACCGGUGGCGAAGGCGGCUACCUGGCCAUGUACUGACGCUGAGACACGAAAGCGUGGGGAGCAAACAGGAUUAGAUACCCUGGUAGUCCACGCCGCAAACGAUGGGUGCUAGGUGUGGGGGGUGUCGACUCCCUCCGUGCCGCAGCUAACGCAUUAAGCACCCCGCCUGGGGAGUACGGCCGCAAGGCUA
rnacentral:rRNA from 1 species